CACUGCCCUGCCUGGGACGCUGUCCAGAAGCAGCUCUAACUCCCUGCCUCGUGUCCUGGGCUCACUGUCUUCUGAGCGGGACUGGAGUUCUGAGAGGGUGCUCCGCUCCUCCUGUCAUCUCUCCCUUUCCUUCUGAGGCCCAAGGAGGAAGGCAUGCUGCGGGCUCUAGCCCUCCUUCUAGCUUUCCUGGCUCCUGCCACUCAGAUAUCUUCCAACUUGGAAGGGACUCAGAUGUCCAUCACCAAGCAGGCUGGGUCAUCUGCUGUAAUCACUUGUGAUAUUAAACAAAGCAGCGACUACGUCCACUGGUACCGAUACCAGGAGGGGAUGGCCCCACAACGCCUUCUCUACUACCAGUUCUCCAGCUCAAAGGUUGUGAGUGAACCCGGAAUCAGUUCAUGGAAAUACCAAGCUUAUAUAAGGACAGGAAGGACCUGUAAACUUUUAAUCAAAAUUCUGGAAGAAAGUGAUUCUGGUGUGUAUUACUGUGCUGCCUGGGAGAACAGCUCAUACUGGAUCAAGACAUUUGGAAAAGGGACUAAGCUCACAGUAACUCCCUCUGACAGAAGCCUUCCUGCAGAUGUUUCCCCCAAGCCCCCUAUUUUUCUUCCUUCAAUUGCUGAAAUAAAUCUCCAUAAUGCUGGAACAUACCUUUGUCUUCUUGAGAAAUUCUUCCCAGAUGUUAUAAGGGUAUAUUGGAAAGAAAAGAAUGGCAAUAGAAUUCUGGAAUCCCAGCAGGCAAACACCAUGAAGACUGAUGACACGUACAUGAAAUUCAGCUGGCUGACCGUGACUGAAAAGUCAAUGGAUAAAGAACACAGAUGUCCAACACGAGAAUAAUAGAGGAGGGGUUGACCAAGAGAUUCUUUUUCCUUCAGUGAACAAAGUUGUCACUGCUACUGAUUCUACAACAGCUUCCCCAACAGAGGAAAGUGCUUUUCAGAAGAAAAGUCAAAACAACCAAAGUCUUCUCUUAGAUACCCUGCCGCUGCAGCUCACCAACACUUUUGCCUGUUACGCCUACCUCCUCCUCCUCCUCGUGAGUGCGGUCUACUUUGUCAUCGUUGCCUUCUGCCUGUUAAGACAACAGCAGUGUGUGGCAGUGGAAAGAGUUCGUAACAGAUGGUGGCAUAAAGAUAACAACUUUUCUCCAUUGUUUAUUCUCCCUAAAACUGUCUCCUGAGGAUCUAGCUGGGCAUUCUCUCUGGGUUUGGGUUAUUUCAGUUCACCUAUGUAUUUUUCUAUUAUGUCAAUAUUACAAAAAUAUUUUUAACACCACUGGGCAAACUGAAAAUUUCACUCUGUUAACAACAAUGAAUUCUGCCGUUACUCAGGGGCAGGGCCAAGGGGUAGCCCUUUAGCACCACUCUCUCUAUGAUCUCCAUCAGCUCCUCCAGAAACCCAAAUAAUCAUGCCUUCUGAGUACAGAUAGCAUGCAGCAUCUAGUCACAUCCCUUAAGGCCGUUUAAUCAGAUGACCACCAUGAAGACUUCCAUUUUUAAACAUACUUAAGUUGCCAUCAUUGCUACUUGAAUUCUGUACUUUCUUUUUCAUCAUAGGCACAAUAUAAAAAAAUCAAAAGUCUACAUUGGUCUUUGUGUACUUUAAUUUGAUGAAACCCAGCUGAAAGUUCAAGGGAAGAAACAGCAUGACAACUGAGUUACCACAUCUAGCAUUGGUUGUAAUA